UACGUAGGGGGCAAGCGUUGUCCGGAAUCAUUGGGCGUAAAGCGCGUGUAGGCGGCUUGGUAAGUCUGCUCUGAAAGCCCGGGGCUCAACCCCGGGAGGCGGGUGGAUACUGUCAAGCUCGAGUCCGGAAGAGGUGAGUGGAACUCCGAGUGUAGAGGUGAAAUUCGUAGAUAUUCGGAAGAACACCAGUGGCGAAGGCGGCUCACUGGUCCGGUACUGACGCUGAGGUGCGAAAGCGUGGGGAGCAAACAGG
rnacentral:rRNA from 1 species